GCUUGCAGCACAGAAAGAGCUGAUCCAAACAUCUUUGAAAGCGGGGUCCUGCUUUGCUCCACAGCCUGGUGCUGGGAUCAAGCCUGGACCAGGCUCCAAACCACACCCUGGGGCUUUGGGCCUUCAGACUGGGCACUGGGCAAGGAGAAGCAGCCGCUGAGUCACUGCAGGGGAGCAAAGUGAUCGUUCAGCUGGGCCCCAGAUACUCUUCUGGAGAGGGUGAAAUGCAGCAGUGCAGGAGCAGGAUGACAACAACACAUCAACCUCUCCAGGUUUGUCUGGAUCCAGCAGAGUUUUUUUGGUAGGGUAUUUUGCAGGGGGUGUAAUGGGAAAAGAACAGAAGGGCCCAUUGCACUUUGGAGAUGUGGAGCUGCCUGUCUGCCUGUGCUCUAAGCUGAGAGAUCAGAAAUAACAUUGGCCAAGCUUUUGACUCUCCUGACACCUGUGCUAUGAGCUGUGCAGGCCAGUGGAACCCUGGAGACAAAACACCACCUUUGGCUGGUGUACUUGAGUUCCUUACACAACAUGUUGGCUGAGGUCAAACAUAGCAGAGACCCAAGGGAAGAAUGAGAGGGAUUAUUUUCUUUCUCUGGGCAGAUUUAUUUUAAAUUUGGAAUCUGCCCAAGAGGGCAGGAAAGAUUCUCACUGAGCCAAAUGGGGUCUGGAACACAGCUCUGCCACAUUUUCUGCGCUGGGAUUUAGUUUGGAUCAUUCCAUCCCAUCUCUGAGGUCUGUGAUGUGACUGUGGCCAAGGGCAAUCAGCCUCCCCAUGCAAGACCUUCCAGUAAACAACCCUCUAGUAGGAAGGGUGUAGCAGGUAGGCAUAGACAGGCAAAUCUCACCUGGGACACCUGGGACAUGGAUGAAACUUGGGAGAAGGCAGGCAGCCAUGUAGGAAGCUGAUUUGGGAUCACUAGAUGGUGCUGUCGACCUUGAAAUGGGAACUGACAGUGCUGAGAUGAGGGAACAUCUUUCCUGAACUUAAAGGCAGAGCAUCUGCACAAAGUUAUGGCUGACUAACAGCAUCCUGAACGUUACUCAAACACCAAAUGGACCUGCCCCAUAGGCUCUGGCAGUGAAGCUGUAGAAAUGGAGUAUAAUAAACAAAGAAAAAUCGGGAACUGGACACGAUUGUGCUGUGCCCCACCCUAUUGGCCUUAUGCUCUUCUAGACCCUUCAGGAACCAUGGGGCACAGGGACAAUAUUUCAAAGCUUGUGCUACAGUAGGAGUAGAUGUGAAAAGGGACCACCAGAACAGGCUACUUUGAUGUGGAGUACCAGGUGUUGUCUCCCAUCUCCAUGGUCCUGGCUGCCCGUGGGUGGUCAGCAGAAGUCAUGUUCUCACUCAUUCUCACUCACUCACCCUGGCAGUGAUGCAGAACAUCAUUUUGGGAUCGAGCUCUUGGAGUAUAACAAGCAGAGCAGUGCCAUAGACUGGCAGCAGGUAUAGUACACAGCAGCAAAUGAUAUUGCAGGGGGAGUCGUGGCUCAUGGGACAAGGGCAUCUGGCAUCAUUGGGGAGAGGACAUUAAGUGCAGUCUGCCUCACCAGCUUUACAGACACAUAGCUGAUGGAGCUCUUUGCUGCCACCCCCUUCCUGACCCACAUCAGCCCCACCAACUCCAAACUUCUACUGUUCCUACUGGGAGGUGGCCUCACCUUUGGGACCUGCAGGACACAGAAAGUUUUAAAGUAUCCUGGCUUUUCCCCCAGUUUCAGUCAGGACAGGGUUAAUUUUUGCAGUAGUCAGGGAGGGUCAUGGCCAGGACCCAGAGGCUAUUCUGUACUGAAUAUUUAAAGAAAAAAAAAAAAAAGACAAAAAAAAAAAAAAGGAAAAAGGAGAGAAAUUUCAGGCUCAGUUUUUACUUCUAUGGACACUGACACCUCUAAUCUCUCUGUGUAACCUUACUUCUUUUUAUCACUGCCCUGUGGACAUCCUGGCUCACCUGUCAUUCCUCCCUUUUACAGUUGUAUGUCUGAAAUUUAGCCCUAAUAGGAGAAGGAUCCACUGAAAGCUCUAUGCAAAAUCAUAGAAGAGAUGGAGCAGCACCUGCUUGUGCUGCCAUUAGCUGAAGCUGGGUCACCAGCUCCCUCUGCUCCCCUUAUGCAGCAUUCUUUGGUGCUGAAGGACCUUCUGAUGCAGCUCUUUAUGCUGCUCUGCAUUAAUAGUAUGCUACAGGCAAAGCUGGGGGUGGAACAGACACUACAGGAAGAGGGAAGAUGAAGAAAACUUCCAGUGCUGCUUACAGCAGGGUCAGCAGCAAAAAGCAGACUGUGGGUAAGUAAGAAGACACCGGGUAAGAAUGGUCCCUCCAUCACAGCUGCCUGUCCUGAGCUGGCUGCAAACCAGCCUGGAGGUGAAGGGAAAUGACAAACGCAAGACCAAAUUCUCUCAAAGUAGCCCCAGGAGAUGCAGCUGUCACCUGUGUUCAGGGUGCUCACCUGGCACCCAGCAGGGCACCUCUGUCUGUGCUGCCACUGCCGUGCCCAGACAGCACAUUGCUCCUGCUGGUACCCCCAGUGCAUGGGGAUCAGGACAGCUAACACCUGCCUCUUGCUGCCCUCUCUGCGGAUGGCAAUAUGAAGUUAUUUCAGCUAAAGUGAAAUAUUGGGAUUUUCUGGUGUGCAAGUGAUCUUUUUUUGAGAUCAAGAAGGGUGUUUUGAUGCCAGUUAAGAUUUUGGCCCUUAGUUCACUGGGACAGAAACUGUUGACUAGUGAAGGGAGGAGGAGCCUGGUGGAGAGGUUGUGUGAUGGCCAUGGAGCAGGGCAGCUGAAGAUGAUUUCUUUAUGUCAGCAUGUAAAUUAAGAUUGCAUAGGAAAUCUUUACUGUCUCUAUGGCUUCUGAUUGUUUGACUACAACUGUGCUGUGGUUUUAACCAUGAUGAAAAUACAAUUUCCUAAGUUUUGUAAAAGCUCACUAAAAAGAGAAUUCCAUUAAGGGAAGCUCUGAUUUUCCCCUAGUUGUCCCUGUACGGCUGUUUCUAAAUCACUUGUAAGCCUUUUCUGCCAUGCUGAGUAUUACACAGCACAGAGCCGAGCAAAGUAAAAUGAUCGAUAUUGUAAUGGACUUCUCAUCCUAGUACCAUGGCAGAAAUAAUAAAUGUCAUGAUAUAUGACAGCCCUUCUAAAGCCCUAUGGAGCCAAAUGAGACGCAGUAAGCAUAUAUCUCCUACUUCCUACCCCUGUUUUGCUUCUCUGUGUCUGUACUUUGUUUCCUCCCACAUUUAUUUCCUCCAUAAUGGAAGACUGUAAUUGUAUUAAAAGUGACUCUGCACACAGGAGGACCUGCUGUGGUUGCACUGUUCCCUUCAGCAGACCGGGGUGGACUUCUGGAGCUGCAGUUUGUGAGCUGCUCAGUGCCCUGGGGAGCAGGGCUUUGGGUGGGUUUGACCAGCAGCCAUGUCCUCCUGUUGGCAUUACAGUCAGCCUGUGGCAAUCCACCUGAAAAACCUCAGGACAAUCUGCUCUAAUGUAAAGGGGAUGGUAGGGGAUCAUAUCCUGAUGAAACCACGUGUAUCCUGUGGAACUGCGUUUUCUGUUUGCAAAGGAGCCAGCUUCAUGGAAGAGUGAGGAAAGGGAAUCUUUGACAGGGUAAGUUUCAUUUUCUCAUUGUGUCAGUUAUUCUUCAGUUUGUCUCAUUUUCAGCAACAUCAUUUAAUGUUGUUCCU